rnacentral:pre_miRNA from 1 species
AUAGUACUUCCUCCGUCCAACAAAGGAUGUCUCAACUUUGACUAAAUUUGAAUGCAUCUAUACACUAAGUCAUGUCUAGAUACAUCCAAAUUUUGACAAACUUGAGACAUCUUUUGUUGGACGGAGGGAGUAAUAA